AUACCUUUAAGGAGUACAUCAUGUAACAAGUUUGUGGGCCCGAAGUACGGAACAUUUCGAGCUAAAACGAUUUCAUGCGAACGAAAACCUUGAGCUAUGUAUCAUACUGUAUAGAGUAUAGACGAUAACAUCAGCUAUAUCGGUAAACAUUUAAUUAGUGUGUCAGGUACAUUAGGUUAACAAUAUCAACACGGAGUAAGCAUGACACCGCAAGUGGAAGCAAAGACAACAUUGUCCAAUGUGCGUUUGGCCACUUGGUUUAUACGAUUAGUCACUUUCGGAUACCUUUUGCCGGAAUCGUCUCACUGAUCUUCGGCGGUGCAUAUGACGUCAACGUCGGGCUUUUGAUUUUUGGAUCCGUGGGACUGACACAACCAUUACUAUUGCCAUGUGCAUACUCGAUUCGACCGUCACCAAAUGACCGAAAAACAUUGAUUGGUUUGAAGUUUAUUCUGUACGUCUGGCUCUUUAUACUGAGCAUAGCUAUGGCGACGUGCCUUUUACUUUCGCUGAUUGCCAUGUUUUCAACUACUAUCGCACUUCUGUCCGAUUCCGAAGAUUUCACUAUUUUGGCCUACGUCGUCUUCGCUCCGUGCCUCGUUUUCACGGUGAUUAACCAGUACACAUUUUGUAUCCUACAUAAACACGGUCUCUGCUUCAUGAUAGCCUCAACAAUGAUAUUGAGCAUGCAAAUGUGUCGAUUGAGAACGGUUAUGGGUCCACAGGGUUGACUGCUGGGGGUGCACCUGACGAAACCUCAAGGAUCUUGCCACCUUCGAAUUCAGUUGACGUCGGAAACCUUGAAGCCGGGUCCGAUUUCUAUGUUGGAAAUAAUCGCGACAGCCUUGUCUAGCACAAGGUAUUGAUCUUUGGGUUGUUCAGGACAAGGUGAUUGAACCUUUUCGAGAACAAAGUGCUUAUAGUUCUCCAAGUUUUCUCAAACAAAGUGAGUUUGUCUAUUAUUUAGAACAAGGUGGGUUUGGCUUUUGAAUUUUCAAAGGACAACACUCAAAAUAACAUUAAGCACAACGCAUUACACAGGAACGUCAUUACGUGUUACAUAGAAAAAAAACUAGGCACGUCUUAACGUGUUUGUUGCCGGGUACGCGACAUGACUUGAAGAAAUACCCAAGAACUAAAACAAAUCAAUGAGUACGAUAAAGAUUGUGUGAUCUUAGCAAUGACAUGUGUGCGUUUUUUUUAAAUGUAUUUUUACAGUAUCCAUUUCAAACUAUGACAACGAAUAUUGCCAAUAUUUUAAGAAUUUAUUCUAACGAAGUUAAAAUACGUAUCUUGACAAUUAACUGAAUACAAACAAAUAUCUACAUCGACAUCAAGAAAAAAUACUUGAUUUUAAGCAUUUUAUUAAAAUCAUAUAUCAUGUUGUGAAAACAAAGAUAUUGCUGUGGCUUAAAACAUAUAAAUUUGUUUUAACUUGCCUUGUGCACCGUUAAGCAAUCGAUGAAUUGUGUUUGAUUUAUUAUUAUGACUCAUGGUUGUUGUUUGAAUUUGAUUUGUAUUUACCUGCAACGAAAUCACACUUAACAUAAAACGGUGUUUAUUAAAAGUAAUGAUAACGCAGUUCAAUAAAGCCAUUAUACAAUUAUCCGUUUUGCAAAAUGAUGCGACAUUUCAAUGAAACGAUACACAUGUUAUCGUAAAAUAAUGAAAGCAUUGUUUUAAAUCGAUUAUCGGUGACAAAAUAUAGGUAUUGUGCCCAUGAAUGUGCAAAAGAGAAGAGAUUUUAAGGAAAUCGGGCUUACGGUGUAACUGGUAUACAACAUACGUGAAUCUUAAAAAAAUAAUCAACAGGUUUUUGAUGUAAAAUAAGACCAGAAAGAAAUACAGUUAGAUUAAAACUUACACCUGCGUUCAAGACAUAAAUACUUGAAUAAAUUAAUUGAUGAAUGAAUGAUUGAAUAAAUUUAUGAAUGAAUGAAGACAUUAAUUAAUUCAAAUAUGGCGCAAUUAUUAGAUAAAUGCCAAAAUAGUUUCGAUAAUGCCAAAAUAGUGUUUGUUUCCACUAAUCCGACCGCCCCUUAUAUAUACGUCACAAAAAUCCAUGUAGCCAAGAACAGUGAAAGUGUAUCGUAUGACGCAAUUGAGAAGCGAUGACACGAUGACGUGAAAAAAAUCCAGGAGCAGUACUGUAAAAUAAAAAAUAAAAAUAUUAAAGGGGCAGUAGAUAUCUACUGUAAAAUUGAAUUACCAAUAAAACCAGCUUAGGUGAUUAAAUAUUUAAGAAUCAAACAUAUACAAUGGCAAUUCCGUUUAUGAUUCCAAAUUUAACAGAAUAAAGAUAUAGUGAAUCAAAAACCAACACGCAUGUGUUAAAAACACAUGCUUGUGUAAUUUAACGUUGUUUUUUUCUUUAAAAGUGAAAUUUAUACUUCUCGCAUUUUUAUUCCACAAGGACGGUACGAUGGAGCAGUCAUUUGUAAUGUUAAUAUAAUUGUGACUUAUGAUUCCCGAUAUUUGACUUGUUCUAAAAGAAUAUGAGAUUAGUUCAUGGAGUGGACAAAAUCGCACAAAAUAAUCCAUAUGAAGCUUCGUUGAAAUCUAAGUUUGAUAGCAAAACAAAUAGAAACACACAAUUUAAACGAUAUAUUGGUAUUUAAAUUCGACAGGGUGUCCGACUGUUCUCAUAUAACUUUUUUUUUAAUGCAGGGAUUCAAAAGAUAUCUGAUUCCAUGUUCGCGUAAUCAACUUUAGAAACACCGUUCAGGACUGAAUUUUGCGUUUGAACCGCGUCGAAGGACCAGUCGAACGAGAUCUUUGAUCUUUGAUACAUUGCCUAUGCCAGCAACUCGAAAGCGUAAAAUGGGCUCCGGAAACGACACACGAUUGAUAUUGAAUACUUCAUGAGCCCCUUCGAUCAUCAGUUAAAAUCAAUUUUCGUAGGUAAAUACGAAGACGUUAGAUCAUAAUUAAGUACAUAGAUGACUUUUCAUAGGCAGAUAUAGGCCACUGUACUCGUUCUGUAUCCUUCACAAGAACGGCUGCUGCUUCUUUUACAGACUCAUGCGGCAGCGAUGGUAACGUUAUAAAAAAACAUAAAGCUUAAAUGUAACAAGGUCACCAGGGCCUUUCACGUAUUGUAUAGCGUACGUUAACAGAACGCUUGAAUGAAACAAUUGCGGCUGCGUCGGUUACGACUUAAUAAUGUUUAUAAGGAUACACAUAAAUGAUACAUUUGCCUAAGUGUCGGUAGCGUAUUUAAAACGCAUUUAAACGAAACGCUUAAAUGCAACACUGGCGCUCGCGUUGGUUACAUGUUAAAAACGUAUUGUAACAUGACGUUUGAAUAAUUAACUGUCUUCAGCGCCGGUAUCAUUUUAGCAAGGUUUUGAAACAUAAUGCUUUAAUGGCAUACUGGCAUCAAACUUUCAAGAUGUUUAUUACACAGUGUAGGGUAAAGUUUGAUCAUCAGACUGACAUCAGAGUCGGUAAUGUUUUUUAACUGUAUUCUAAGGUAACUAUCAAAUGACACAAUAAUGUUAUUUCUUAACGCUUAAAUGACUUACUCGCGUAUACGAAAGAAAGGUUUAUUUAAGCGUGCAGUAACUAACAUAGAUUGAUAAAAUGGCUUCACGGUUGAUCUGGUUAUGUUAAGCGUACAGUAACGCUACGCCUAAAUGACAAAGUGGCGUCAGCGUUGGUAAUGUGUUUAAGACGUAUUGUGUUGUUACGCUUCAAUGUGAUGUAUACUUUUAGUUUUACUUAAACUAAUUUGCCUGUGUACUGCUUUUGUGUAUUUUGGAGUUUAUCUGUAUAUAUGUCAAAGUGUUUUACUCGAUUAUUAUUGGAUCUGAAAACAUUGUAAUUAUUCUACAUAUAACACUUGCAGUUUUUCAAUGGUUUGUUGUUUUACUGCAUACAAUUUAGGUUUGGAAAACGGAACUUUUUAAAUGUAAGUUAGCUCUUGACAUACCACUGUCGUACUUGCGAUUAUAUGUGUGCCUUCGUG